rnacentral:tRNA from 1 species
GCUCAGCUAGUGUAGACACGCGAGACUCAAAAUCUCGUGCUAAAGAGCGUGGAGGUUCGAGUCCUCUUCAAGGCA